AUUGUUAAAAAUGAAAUGCCUUAAUCUCUGUCUACUUCGUCUAAUUAUUUAAAUGCCUUAAUCGCUUGAAUGCUUCUUCUUUGCUUUUUCGUCCUUUUUUGUUUUUAACACAUUUUGUAAUUGUGAAAACGGUAUUGGAUUGAUUUUAGCAAGUGGGAUUUUUUGUUAACGUUAAUCAGACCCGGACCUUUGUGUUGAUCGAAGUCAUUGCUGCUGGGUUAGCUGGUGAAUGCUGGAUUUGGGGACUCAAGAAGUGAGAGAGGACAAAAGCCAGCAGCUCGGUAAGUGUUCUUUUUAUUCCUAGCUUUUUUUGCUGAGUAGAGGCUUUCUUUUCCUGAGAAAAGCCCUGAAUCCAUUCAAUUUCAAACCCUAAAUCCGUUCACUGAAAGACAAAACAUAAGAAUUAGUCGUUGAAAUUUGUAAAGGGGUUGUGAUGGUGGCAAGUAGUAAUGGGUGUCGAUUUGGUUCAACAAGAAAGUGGUCGAUCGCCUCCUCAAAAUCCUCUGCAGGAACCCUUUGCUCUCUCUCUCUCUCUCUCUCUCUCUCUAAUUUUCUUUUUCUAUUCCAGAUCCACACAUUCUGUUUUUUCUUUUUUGUUUGAUUGAUUGAUAAUGGUCCAACAAUUGUUUUCCUAAAAAGUCUUGUUUCGCUGGUACUUUUAUUUGGCGGUUGCUGAGAAAGAAAGAAAGUUCUAAAAUUUGAUUUGGAUUUUGAAGGGGUGCAGAACCUAAGCUGCUGGCUUUCUCUGCAGCUCUUGGCCUUACCAUUGGAUUAUUUCCAAUAUGUGGUACGUAUAUUUUGCUCAGGUUUUCUGGGAAAUCUAAUACUGUUUGUGGAUUAUGGUUGUAUAUUCAUUGUUGGUUUAACUUCUUCACCGAAGUUAGUGAAGUUGAGAGGGACAACCAAGUCCUCAGGUCUAUUUCUCUUUGUGCAUGCAUGUAUGCAUGCAUAAUGUUGUAUGUAUGUGGAUGUGAUGACAGUUUAAUUGUAUAAACUAGGGUUUCGGGCAAUAGGAUUGUUUAUCAUGUUUUGCAAUUAAAUGGAAAAAAAGGCCGACUCAAAUUAACUUCGCAGCAAUUUGUUUUUCCCUGAUUGAAAUUAAAUUGGUUGAAAUAUGUAUAAUUGUUUUGGCUGUGUAUUCGAUUUAUUGACGAGGUGUGCACUUUAUUCAAAUUGCUUAUUCGUAGAAGAAUUUGACAAGUUUUGUGGAGCUGCCAACUGUGUUAUGCGGCGUAAUCCGUUAAAUGUUACUGGACAUGAUUAGAAGAAUAUGUUAUGUAGUAUUGUUUGAAAAAGGAAUAAUGGGUCAUAGGCUCAUAGCUAGCUGAAAGUAUUGUCGAAUAUAAUUUUAGGCAAGUGCUCAAAUUGUGAGAGAGAUUAGUGUACAUUGCUUUCUGUGGUUAUGAAGUAUAGGACUUAUGGAAUAGACUUCAUAGUUGUACAUCUAUGGCAUCAGUACACUAUGAAAUAUGACUUUAAAUUCGCUGCUCUAACUUUGAUGGUCUUCCAGAUUAGUGUUAUUAUUACGUUUUGGUCAUCUUUUCACUAUCAUCUCUCUCAGUCAUGACUUAGGUACUACAGAAUAGGUUUUUGUGCGUCUGUUUAUUUGUAAUUGUCCAAAUAGCAAUGUAACUGUUGAAUAGUUUUUUGUGUAUCUUUGCUGCUCCGUAUGAAUUAGCUUGGGGUUGCUUGACAGUGACGGUGAAUUUACCUUGAGGUUCUGUAGUUCCUUACAAACAAACGUCUCUCUGUCAUUGUGAUUUGUUUUUCUUCCAUCUGUUUGUUGAUAUAAUCCGUUAGGUAGAGCAUGUUAUGAUGUUUCCAAUUUGAUAAAUAAAGUUAAGUCAUAAUGAAUUCAACCAUUGUAUGAUUUGCAUUUAUUUAGAAUUCAUAGAUAUAGGAGAAGAUACAUAGGAACUUAAAAAACCUAGAACAAUGAAAAACUAUGCAUAUAUUGUGUAGCUGUGUAGCUUUUGUUCUAAUAGGCAGCUACAAUCAGCAGGGAUGAAGCAAGCGUUUCACUUGCCAGGAGUGAUUGUCACCAUCUUUGUGACAUAAGACAUUUCUCUAAAAAGCAUCUCUUCCUCUGUGAAAGUCAAUUGCAGAGGAAGAACUGUUCUGAUGUUGACGACUUCAAUUAACAAGCCUGUGCUGUUGAGAUUUUCCCAUGUCAAAUAUAGAAGUCUUCAAACGUUUCUCAGGAUCAAUGCCACUUGGAAGGUGAGAGUGCUCGAUUGCGACCAAAUUUGGGUGAGAACCGUCAAACUCUAAUCCUAAUUUUUUCCUCUUUUGAACCAUACAAAUUAAGUAUCUUUGGAUGUACUGUUUGUAUUUUCUCGGAAUUUCAGUAUAGGGUUGAUGGUGUUUGUAUUAUUAAACUUGGUCGUCACUUUUUUUCCAUUGUGGCUGUCAUUUUUUUUCGUAUCUCAAAUCAAAAUUGUAUUUGCUUAUUUUGUUUCUCAAGUUCAAACGAGGCCAUCGGUUUUGUCAAUGUUAGUCUGACUGGGUCGUUCAUCGAUGCAGAAGCAUGGCCUCUCACUAAAUGGCCAGACUUGAUCAAGCUUUUAGUUGAUGGGCCAAUCUGGAAGUGUAUUCAACUGCUAUUUGUCGAAAGUGUGAAAGAUCUGCUGGAGGUGGAGGUCAGAAGUAUUCUUCCCGUGCAAGAUGUUGCCAAGAUAGCACGGCGGGCUGAGUGUGUUGUUGCACACCUCGCCUUCUCCUCUCCUUCUCACUCCUUACCAGAACUCAAAUCAAUGGUGAGGUGCAUGUCGUUGUCUAACUCAUCUUCAUCUCUGUCUCUUUCACUCUUGAGUUACCUGCUGUUGGAUUCCGUUUGCGUUGCCGAUCUACAGGUAAAGCUUCAAUUUCCAUGUUGGGAUUCCAUUUUUCUUCAUUUCUGGAAUUUGGGUUUUAAUUUCAGUAAUUUAUUUCUAUUAAUUUUAGUUCUGUGUUUAGUAAAUUUUGUUCUUAAUUUUAUUUCAGUAAACUUUUCAAUAUUGAUAUGAUUUUUUUUACGCAAUUAAUAGCAACCGAUGACACUUCUCAUAACAAACUUUCCAAUAUGCCAUGUUUGUAUGAUUUUAUGUCCACGAAAGGCUAUAUAUUCAAAGAUAGGAUUGAAGAGGCGUGCCCGUUUCUUAUGUUUUCCUUUUUGUUUAUGCACCGUGAUUUUUAUUUGGCAAAGAAAUUAUAUAAUCAGGAUGUACAUAUUGUCUUGGAGAAUACAAUUGCAAAGCUCCCAGCAGCUGUGUGGAAAUUGGAUUGGAAUUUGAAGACGAGAUUUAGGAGUGUGUAUUGAGUUUUUUUGGGUUUUUUUUUUUUUUUUUCUAAAAUGGUUACUGUUUAUUUACUUUAUUUGAUUACAAUUUGAAUGUGAUGAAAAUUUAAAAUUUAA